AAUCCCUUGACCAUCAGGUAUAUAUACCUCUGCAACCUAGCUUUAUUAUCAGUUCUCAGAUUUUCAGAGCAACGAACAAGGUAAAACGAUGUUCUCAACUGUCACAAUUGUGCUGCUUGUGUCAUGCUGUGGCGCAGCGUUGAGUAGCUGGAUACCAUACGGAAACUCGUAUUCGCCAGAACAAGGCAAGGGCGGAUAUUGGAACUCAUAUUUGCCGAAAUAUGAGAGCUAUCGGCCGCAACAAUAUCCUAGUUAUCCAGGUUCUUAUUGGCCUGGACCAUGGGGUGGCUGGCAAGGGGAUAACGUCGGCUCGCAAAAGAAUUCCGUGGACGGUACAGGCAAUUACGUGGGAUGGCAAAAGAAUUAUGUGGAUUAAGUACAGAUGGAAUUGAACGAAAUAAAGAUCAAGUCAUGUAGAGAAUGUUUACUUCUGUUGACAACACUUAAUAAAUAUAUUUCAG